GCCUAGUCAAGAUGAAGCCAGAGGAAACUCUGGUGGAUGUCUGAAGUUAUUCUGACGUGCAAAUCGAUAAUCUGAUCUGGGUAUAGGGGCGAAAGACUAAUCGAACCAUCUAGUAGCUGGUUCCUUCCGAAGUUUCCCUCAGGAUAGCUAGCGUACACGUUUAGUUUCAUCCCGUAAAGCGAAUGAUUAGAGGUAUUGGGGCGUAUAUAGCCUCAACCUAUUCUCAAACUUUUAAUGGGUGUGAGUGUUCUUUCUCGAUUGAAGAACACUGCUAAAUAAGUAUGCUUAGUGGGCCAUUUUUGGUAAGCAGAACUGGCGCUGUGGGUUGAACCAAUUGUUGGGUUAAAGUGCCUAAAGCUGGAAUGCGCAUGAGAUCUAUAAAGGGUGUUAGUUGCUGAAGACAGCAGGACGGUGGCCAUGGAAGUCGAAC
rnacentral:rRNA from 1 species